CCCAAUUGUGUCUCCUUAAAGGUUCUCCAACCCAUCCAGCACUGCAGCACCUUUGCGUUAUCACUGCCUUCAGAUUUACCCUAGGCAGAUGCUGUCCUCUGCCUGUGAGGCCUCGUAAAAAAAGGGGCAAUAUAGAUGAUUGACUUGGGUUGCUUUUCUCUAGUCAAGAUCCAAUAGAUGAUCGAUUUUCACAUCUAUGAGAGUGUAUAUGGCAAUGGAAGCGUCUUGAUUUCACCCUACCUGGCUGCUUGGUCUUCAGGAAUGCUGGUUGGGUCGUCCAAGCCUAUGGGCAUAUUGCUGCUACCAACGUUGCGCUGCAAGUCUCUUUUCCAAUUAGAGUUUGUGGAGCUAUAGAUCCAACUUGUGAUUUCCAGGCAUUUUGGUUAAAGUGGCUUGAAGUUA